AAUUAGCUUUCAGGGAUUGCAUGUGCGAUCUCGGAGCCUAUGUCAGCUUAAUGCGACUCUUUGUGGCAAGAAGGUUGGAAUUUAUUCAGUACAGACCUUGUGACCUGACUUUGAUCCUUGCGGAUAGGUCUUCACGAAAACCCUUCGGCAUGUUGAAAGAUCUACCAGUCAUGAUUAAUGGAGUGGAAGUGCCUACAGACUUCGUGGUGCUGGAUAUGGAAGAAGAGCAUAAGGAUCCCCUAAUCUCGUACUUUACGCGACUGCGCUACUGAUCGCAGCGAAAGAAGAGAGGUCGAGUAUCCUCAGAGCGGUGCUGGCCGCCACAGAGCUGAUGAGGUCGAGUACCCACCUGCUCGAGCUGAUACAGAACAGGGCGGCUCGUCUAUGGCCUGGGAGCAAUCACAGGCAGCCAUUGACGACCAACUGAUAACACUAGAUUUUAACCUUUUUAAGCCCUUGCUUUUCAUGCAUUUAGUUUAGUUUCAUGUCUUUUUUCAUGCAUUCUUAGUCUCUUUUCCUUCUUUUGCACAUUUUGCAUUGCAUU
rnacentral:sRNA from 1 species